rnacentral:lncRNA from 1 species
GCAUGUUGUAAGCAGGGUCAUUAAAUUGAGGGAAUAUAUUUAAACUAUAUAAGUAUAAGGUCAUUAAAUUGAGGGAAUAUAUUUAAACUAUAUAAGUAUAAUAAUUAAUAACUACGUAAGAACUUAAAAAGGUAAAAGAUGUGCGAUGAGAGAUGAAUGACUGCAAAUUGCAAUCAAGGGGUAGAAGUUCAACUAGAUGAGAGAAAUCUUCAUGUCUAUGAGAUGCUGAUAAGAAUUCAUAUCAGUUUUAGUUUCUAUAUUGAUGUGUUUGCUGUAAAACUUAGGAAAUACUAGGAAAAGGACCGAAAGCUUCAUAGCCAGAGAAAAUUCUCUAAACACCAACCAAAAACAAAAUACUCCGCAUAAAUUUAGGCCCUAUUUUUCUGAACUAAUUGUGAAAAUGAAUUAGGAUUUUUAGGAACUGAAGCUCCGACCAUUCUUCAUAACACAAACACAGAUGCUAAAUGCAUGUUGGAUUCAUUUUGGGAGAGUCAACAGUGAUUCUAAAGAUUUAAAUUGAUUUUAGGUAUGUUUGAGGGUUCUAAUUAAAAUUGAUUUUGCCUCCAAAGUUGAUUUUUAC